CCAUGAAUAUUCUUGUUCUGAUUUUGUAAUAAUCAGGGGAGGCUAAACAUUCCCUGUAUUAAGACCAUGCAUGUGUCCUGAGAUCUAGUUCUUUCCCUAGGUCUGGUUUUAUCAAUGCUCAUGAUAAAC
rnacentral:snoRNA from 1 species